UACGUAGGGUGCAAGCGUUGUCCGGAAUUAUUGGGCGUAAAGGGCUCGUAGGCGGUCUGUCACGUCGGGAGUGAAAACUCAGGGCUUAACCCUGAGCCUGCUUCCGAUACGGGCAGACUAGAGGUAUGCAGGGGAGAACGGAAUUCCUGGUGUAGCGGUGAGAUGCGCAGAUAUCAGGAGGAACACCGGUGGCGAAGGCGGUUCUCUGGGCAUUACCUGACGCUGAGGAGCGAAAGUGUGGGGAGCGAACAGG
rnacentral:rRNA from 1 species